rnacentral:rRNA from 1 species
AUUGAACGCUGGCGGCAGGCUUAACACAUGCAAGUCGAACGAGCGGCGGACGGGUGAGUAAUGUAUGGGGAUCUGCCUGAUGGCGGGGGAUAACUACUGGAAACGGUAGCUAAUACCGCAUACCAUCCGAUGAAACCAUAUGGGAUUCGCUUGUAGGUGAGGUAACGGCUCACCUAGGCCAAGAUCCCUAGCUGGUCUGAGAGGAUGAUCAGCCACACUGGGACUGAGACACGGCCCAUACUCCUCCGGUAGGCAGCAGUGGGGAAUAUUGCACAAGGGGCGCAAGCCUGAGGCAGCCAUGCCGCGUGUAUGAAGAAGGCCUUGGGGUUGUAAAGUACGUUCGGUAGCGAGGCGUUAACUACAGAAGAAGCACCGCCUAACUCCGUGCCAGCCGCCGCGGUAAUAC